GCCAGCAGCCCUAUCACCCUGCAGCUCUCAACUGGCUACCCACUGAGGCUUGAGCCUGGUUAGUCCCUGGAUGGGAGAUCUCCUGGGAAGUUAUGGUUGCUGCUGGAA
rnacentral:rRNA from 1 species